GAAGAAUGAAAGACAAAAAGCAAAAAAACUACAUAGAGAUACUUGACAAGACCAGAUCAUGUUAUGUCAUGCACUCUAUGCAGAUGGUGGAUAAGAGUUGUACUUCUGGGGUUUGCUGAAGGAGAGGUGAAGUGGCUUGGUGAAAGGAAGAAAGCGGUUUGUUUUUUCCGUGUGUUGUGCGCUCAUAUAUACACAGACAAAACUUCAACAUGCACAGACCCACACAUCAGUGAUUCUCUGAGCUCGGUCAAGGCAAUGCAAUUUUACUGUAGGAGGAUGGAAGAGUGUGAGCCACGUUUUCAUCAAAUAUUUACACCUGAACAAUGUGUAUGAAUUGAAGCCAUUAAAGAGAAGCUGAUGGAGGGAGGGAGUGGAGAAGAGGAGGCGGGCUGGUCUAAUAACACACUACCUGGAGUUCCCAAUUGUUUGGAAAGCACCACAAAUCCAGAGAAUGCCAGACUUUGAUGACAAAAUUUGCUCACGAAGGACCGCCACGCCACCUUCUUGUUCAAAUGAGCACAGCACAACAAGUAGAUACCCCAAAGGAGUCCUUAGAGAUGAGUCAACAUGGAUUGUGUAUGCAGCCAUUCGUCGCCCCUGUAUAAUAUCAGAGUGGAAGCUGCAAUGCAAUGAAAUCUUGUGACUUCUG
rnacentral:lncRNA from 1 species